rnacentral:rRNA from 1 species
CCUACGGGAGGCAGCAGCAAGGAAUUUUGCGCAAUGGGCGAAAGCCUGACGCAGCAACGCCGCGUGGGUGAAGAAGGCCUUCGGGUCGUAAAGCCCUUUUGUUAGGGAAGAAGUUCUGACGGUACCUAACGAAUAAGCCUCGGCUAACUACGUGCCAGCAGCCGCGGUAAUACGUAGGAGGCGAGCGUUAUCCGGAUUUAUUGGGCGUAAAGAGCGCGUAGGCGGCCUAUUAAGUCGGUUGUGAAAUCUCUCGGCUUAACUGGGAGGGGUCAACCGAAACUGGUAGGCUUGAGGACGGCAGAGGGAGGUGGAAUUCCCGGUGUAGUGGUGAAAUGCGUAGAUAUCGGGAGGAACACCAGUGGCGAAGGCGGCCUCCUGGGCCGUUCCUGACGCUGAGGCGCGAAAGCGUGGGUAGCAAACAGGAUUAGAUACCCUGGUAGUCCACGCCGUAAACUAUGGACACUAGGUAUGGGGGGUAUCGACCCCCUCCGUGCCGAAGUUAACGCUAUAAGUGUCCCGCCUGGGGAGUACGGCCGCAAGGCUAAAACUCAAAGGAAUUGACGG